rnacentral:rRNA from 1 species
UACAGAGGUCCCAAGCGUUGUUCGGAUUCACUGGGCGUAAAGGGUGCGUAGGUGGUCAGGUAAGUCUGAUGUGAAAUCUCUGGGCUCAACCCAGAAACUGCAUUGGAUACUAUCUGGCUAGAGGAGUGGAGGGGGGACUGGAAUACUUGGUGUAGCAGUGAAAUGCGUAGAUAUCAAAGUGGAACACCAGUGGCGAAGGCGAGUCCCUGGACACUUCCUGACACUGAGGCACGAAAGCUAGGGGAGCAAACAGG